AGAUUCAGCAUAUCAAAGUACCCCAAGAAUUCAAUUUUUGUUAAAAUCAAACUAAGUUUAAUUUUGGACCCUUUGGACCUUAAUGUAGACCAAUUUAAAAAAACGGGACCCAAAAUUAAAAAUCUAAAAACACGGUUAGAUUUGGCAUAUCAAAGAACCCCAAUAAUUAAAUUUUUGAUGAAAUCAAACAAAGUUUAAUUUUGGACCCUUUUGACCUCAAUAUGAACCAAUUCGAUAGGGGGCCCACAAAUAAAAAAUCUAAAUACAUGGUAAGAUUCAGCAUAUCAAAGAACCCCAUAUAUUCAAUUUUUGUUGAAAUCAAACAAAGUUUAAUUUUGGACCCCAAUUUGGACCAACUUGAAAACUGGGCCAAAAAUCUAAAAUCUAAAUACAAGUUUAGAUUCAGCAUAUCAAAGAACCCCAUAUAUUCAAUUUUUGUUGAAAUCAAACAAAGUUUAAUUUUGGACCCCAACUUGGACCAACUUGAAAACUGGGCCCAUAAUCAAAAAUCUAAACACAUGUUUAGAUUCAGCAUAUCAAAGAACCCCAAGAAUUCAAUUUUUGUUAAAAUCAAACUAAGUUUAAUUUUGGACCCUUUGGACCUUAAUGUAGACCAAUUUAAAAAACGGGACCCAAAAUUAAAAAUCUAAAUACACGGUUAGAUUUGGCAUAUCAAAGAACCCCAAUAAUUCAAUUUUUGAUGAAAUCAAACAAAGUUUAAUUUUGGACCCUUUUGACCUCAAUAUGAACCAAUUUGAUAGCGGGGUCCACAAAUAAAAAAUAUAAAUACAUGGUUAGAUUCAGCAUAUCAAAGAACC